rnacentral:tRNA from 1 species
CAAAGUGUAGCUUAAAAAUAAAGCAUUUGGUUUACACCCAAAAAAUUUCAACCUUAUUUG